rnacentral:rRNA from 1 species
AGAGGGUGCGAGCGUUAAUCGGAAUUACUGGGCGUAAAGCGCACGUAGGUGGCUUGACAAGUCGGUUGUGAAAGCCCCGGGCUCAACCUGGGAACUGCAUCCGAGACUGUCUUGCUAGAGUAUGGGAGAGGGAAGUGGAAUUUCCGGUGUAGCGGUGAAAUGCGUAGAUAUCGGAAGGAACAUCAGUGGCGAAGGCGACUUCCUGGACCAAUACUGACACUCAAGUGCGAAAGCGUGGGGAGCAAACAGGAUUAGAUACCCUGGUAGUCCACGCCAUAAACGAUGUGAACUGGAUGUCGGGAGGGUCUGCCUCUCGGUGUCGUAGCUAACGCGUUAAGUUCUCCGCCUGGGGAGUACGGCCGCAAGGUUG